UACGUAGGGUGCGAGCGUUGUCCGGAUUUAUUGGGCGUAAAGAGCUCGUAGGCGGUUUGUCGCGUCGGCCGUGAAAUCUCCACGCUUAACGUGGAGCGUGCGGUCGAUACGGGCAGACUUGAGCUCGGUAGGGGAGACUGGAAUUCCUGGUGUAGCGGUGAAAUGCGCAGAUAUCAGGAGGAACACCGGUGGCGAAGGCGGUUCUCUGGGACGGUACUGACGCUGAGGCGCGAAAGCGUGGGGAGCAAACAGG
rnacentral:rRNA from 1 species